rnacentral:rRNA from 1 species
UACAGAGGGGGCAAGCGUUAUUCGGAAUUAUUGGGCGUAAAGGGCGCGUAGGCGGCCUGGCAAGUGGAAGGUGAAAUCCCUCGGCUUAACCGAGGAACUGCCCUCCAAACUGCUUGGCUUGAGUCCGGGAGAGGUGAGUGGAAUUCCCAGUGUAGCGGUGAAAUGCGUAGAUAUCGGGAGGAACACCUGUGGCGAAAGCGGCUCACUGGACCAUUACUGACGCUGAUGCACGAAAGCUAGGGGAGCAAACAGG